UACGAAGGGGGCUAGCGUUGCUCGGAAUUACUGGGCGUAAGGCGCACGUAGGCGGUCUUUUAAGUCGGUGGUGAAAUCCUGGAGCUCAACUCCAGAACUGCCUUCGAUACUGGAAGACUUGAGUCCGGGAGAGGUGAGUGGAACUGCGAGUGUAGAGGUGAAAUUCGUAGAUAUUCGCAAGAACACCAGUGGCGAAGGCGGCUCACUGGCCCGGUACUGACGCUGAGGCACGAAAGCGUGGGGAGCAAACAGG
rnacentral:rRNA from 1 species